AUUGAACGCUGGCGGCAUGCCUUACACAUGCAAGUCGAACGGCAGCGCGGACUUCGGUCUGGCGGCGAGUGGCGAACGGGUGAGUAAUACAUCGGAACGUACCCUGUUGUGGGGGAUAACUAGUCGAAAGAUUAGCUAAUACCGCAUACGACCUGAGGGUGAAAGUGGGGGACCGCAAGGCCUCACGCAGCAGGAGCGGCCGAUGUCUGAUUAGCUAGUUGGUGGGGUAAAGGCCCACCAAGGCGACGAUCAGUAGCUAGUCUGAGAGGACGAUCAGCCACACUGGGACUGAGACAAGGCCCAGACUCCUACGGGAGGCAGCAGUGGGGAAUUUUGGACAAUGGGGGCAACCCUGAUCCAGCAAUGCCGCGUGUGUGAAGAAGGCCUUCGGGUUGUAAAGCACUUUUGUCCGGAAAGAAAUCGCGCUGGUUAAUACCUGGCGCGGAUGACGGUACCGGAAGAAUAAGCACCGGCUAACUACGUG
rnacentral:rRNA from 1 species